AGAGUUUGAUCCUGGCUCAGGAUGAACGCUGGCGGUGCGCCUUAUACAUGCAAGUCGAACGGUUCCUUCGGGAAUAGUGGCAAACGGGUGAGUAACACGUAAGUAAUCUACCCUUAAGUGGGGAAUAAUCUACCGAAAGGUAGACUAAUACCGCAUGUGGUGCAGAGGUGCAAGUCCUCUGUACUAAAGAUUUAUCGCUUAAGGAGGAGCUUGCGGCUGAUUAGCUUGUUGGUGAGGUAAAAGCUCACCAAGGCGACGAUCAGUAGCUGGACUGAGAGGUUGACCAGCCACACUGGCACUGAGACACGGGCCAGACUCCUACGGGAGGCAGCAGUAAGGAAUCUUCCACAAUGGGCGCAAGCCUGAUGGAGCGACACCGCGUGCAGGACGACGGCCCUCGGGUUGUAAACUGCUUUUCUCUGUGAAGAAUCACAAGACGGUAACAGAGGAAUAAGCGUCGGCUAACUACGUGCCAGCAGCCGCGGUAAUACGUAGGACGCAAGCGUUAUCCGGAUUUACUGGGUUUAAAGGGUGUGUAGGUUGUGAGAUAAGUCUACAAUUAAAUACCAGUGCUUAACGCCGGAAGUGUUGUAGAUACUGUCUCUACUAGAGGUCAGACGGGGGAAGGGGAAUUCCCGGUGUAGGAGUAAAAUCCAUUGAUAUCGGGAGGAACACCAGUGGCGAAAGCGCCUUCCUAGACUGAUUCUGACGCUGAAACACGAAAGCUAGGGGAGCAAAAGGGAUUAGAUACCCCUGUAGUCCUAGCCCUAAACGAUGGAUGUUAGACGUUAGAGGUAUCGACCCCUUUAGUGUCGCAGGAAAACCGGUAAACAUCCCACCUGGGGAGUACGACCGCAAGGUUAAAACUCAAAGGAAUUGACGGGGACCCGCACAAGCAGCGGAGCGUGUGGCUUAAU
rnacentral:rRNA from 1 species